rnacentral:rRNA from 1 species
AGUUUGAUCAUGGCUCAGAGUGAACGCUGGCGGCGUGCUUAACACAUGCAAGUCGAACGAGAAACGGGUUUAGUUUACUAGACCGCAGUCUAAGUGGCGCACGGGUGAGUAAUAUAUAGGUAACAUGCCUCUUACUAAGGGAUAACAGAUGGAAACGCCUGCUAAUACCUUAUAUGCCUUUUGGACUAAAGUUCGUAAAGGGAAAGAUUUAUUGGUAAGAGAUUGGCCUGUACAGUAUCAGCUAGUUGGUGGUGUAAUGGACCACCAAGGCUAUGACACUUAACUGGUUUGAGAGGAUGAUCAGUCACACUGGAACUGAGACACGGUCCAGACUCCUACGGGAGGCAGCAGUGGGGAAUAUUGCACAAUGGACGAAAGUCUGAUGCAGCAACGCCGCGUGGAGGAUGACACAUUUCGGUGCGUAAACUCCUUUUAUAGGUCAAGAUAAUGACGGUAGCCUAUGAAUAAGCGCCGGCUAACUCCGUGCCAGCAGCCGCGGUAAUACGGAGGGCGCAAGCGUUACUCGGAAUCACUGGGCGUAAAGAGCGUGUAGGCGGACUAAUAAGUCAGAAGUGAAAUCCAAUAGCUUAACUAUUGAACUGCUUUUGAAACUGUUG